ACGCUGGCGGCAUGCUUUACACAUGCAAGUCGAACGGCAGCAUGGAGAGCUUGCUCUCUGAUGGCGAGUGGCGAACGGGUGAGUAAUACAUCGGAACGUGUCCUGUUGUGGGGGAUAACUACUCGAAAGAGUAGCUAAUACCGCAUAAGACCUUUGGGUGAAAGCGGGGGACCUUCGGGCCUCGCGCAGUUGGAGCGGCCGAUGACUGAUUAGCUAGUUGGUGGGGUAAAGGCCUACCAAGGCGACGAUCAGUAGCUGGUCUGAGAGGACGACCAGCCACAUUGGGACUGAGACACGGCCCAAACUCCUACGGGAGGCAGCAGUGGGGAAUUUUGGACAAUGGGGGCAACCCUGAUCCAGCCAUGCCGCGUGCGGGAAGAAGGCCUUCGGGUUGUAAACCGCUUUUGUUAGGAACGAAAAGGUAUCUGUGAACAACAGGUAUUGCUGACGGUACCUAAAGAAUAAGCACCGGCUAACUACGUGCCAGCAGCCGCGGUAAUACGUAGGGUGCGAGCGUUAAUCGGAAUUACUGGGCGUAAAGCGUGCGCAGGCGGUUGGGUAAGACAGGUGUGAAAUCCCCGAGCUUAACUUGGGAACUGCACUUGUGACUGCUCAACUAGAGUAUGUCAGAGGGAGGUGGAAUUCCAAGUGUAGCAGUGAAAUGCGUAGAUAUUUGGAAGAACACCGAUGGCGAAGGCAGCCUCCUGGGAUAAUACUGACGCUCAUGCACGAAAGCGUGGGGAGCAAACAGGAUUAGAUACCCUGGUAGUCCACGCCCUAAACGAUGUCAACUAGUUGUUGGGCCGCAUGGCUUAGUAACACAGCUAACGCGAGAAGUUGACCGCCUGGGGAGUACGGUCGCAAGAUUAAAACUCAAAG
rnacentral:rRNA from 1 species